UGGAUGAUUUCCUUGAUAAGUGAAUUUUGCGAGAUUUAGAGUGAAAUAGUAAGUUACCUCUACCUCAGAAUGGACAAAUAGAUUUAGUGAUGGCACGUGUCUUGUACAUCAUCUAUGCAUUAAUUCUUAUAUGCUUGCUUUUUAUUUCUCCGUGAAAUCUAGCUGUUGCUGGAUCUCGGCUACCAAGGCAUGCAUUCAUAAGCAAGGUUAUGAUCACCUACCGAUUAAAACCUUAAAUGAGUUGGAAAGUGGCCAAGUUCUUACUUGACGUAUUUUUUUCAAGUCUACGUGGGAAAUAACAACAAUAGUGCCAAAAGCACAUAGAAUAAGAUAAAUCCAUGACUCGGCUAAUCGACGGCCAAAAUUUUACUAAAAAAUAAAAAAUAAUGAAAAAAGAUCUGGGGUCAUUAAAGAAUUUUAGAGAAUGUUGAUCAAAGUUGUGCAGCAAAAGUAUGGUGGACUGAGUCUUUUAAAAUCUGUCAAAAAUAUUGAUUUGUGAUUUGAAAUGUGGAGAUUUGAUUUUUCAAUAUAGAAGAAUUAUAUUAAUAAAGAAAGGUGAAUAUUGUUG
rnacentral:lncRNA from 1 species